ACACCUCUGCCAACGCCAUCCUCCACCCGCUGUGACGGAUACUCGUAACUCCACCUCAGCCUGGGAUCUGGUUUGAAGGAACAAAGUGAGGAGUUCUCCAGUUUUGGAAGGAAAACGUUCUUCGUGCAGGAUUGUUAAGACUGAAGAUGUCUUUAAAGAGGCGGCUGCUGUCCAUGUUGUUGUGCUGUGUUUACUGUGUGGCCUCGCUCUUCUGCCUCCACCCGAACCGCAACAACUGCUUCUCUGUCGGAGCUCGGAAUCUGGUGUCAGUCGUCCAGCAGCUUUACCAGCGAGUCAUCCGGCUGCUGCGCACCACUCUGUGAUCUUGUGUUUGAACCAAUAACCUAACCCUGACCCUGACCCUGUCCUGUCGCUGCUGCGGUGGCUCUGGCUGCUGCGGCUGUCGUCAAGUAUGCCCUCCAGCAGAGCACUGACAAUUAAAAAGAAAAACAAGAAACAGAGGAAGAAAGAUGGUGUUGCUCUACUCUUGGACUGUAACUCAAUAUUACCUGAAGUCACCUGCCCUGAUCUGCUCACUACUGCAUUUCUCUGACUGUAUUUUAGCUGAGGAAGAGGAGAGUGUCUAAAAAUGUCUAUUUUUCUACUGAUGAAUAUUAACAUUAUGGAUAUUUGCUGCAUGAGCUGCAGGUGAGGUGGAGAGGGCAUCAACUGUCCUCUUUUAAAUGCAUUUUGAGGGUUCACUGGGAGCUUGGCUGCUCUGCUGUUAACUGCACAUGCUGAAGAAUGUAGCUUGAAGAAAUAUCUGUGUCACUGGGAGGAUACUGGUUGAAAUUCCCGGACUGGCUAAAAGAAUCUGUCAUAUGUGAAGGAGCAAAGUGUGAGUACGCAGUUCAGAGUGAAGCUUAAAAUUAAACAUAUUAAAUGUCCUCACAGGUCCAAAAUUUGGGAAAACUCUUAAUUAAGAAAAGAUCUGAGAGGAGACCAGAUCCAAAGGUGACCCGAGGACGGUCAUAAUCAGAUCUGAUUCAAAAUGUGGUCGACCUGAACAGAACCAAAUUGAGAGAGAGCUCUAGCAGCAGUAAGAUGCUCCACCAAUUACGGAGGAGCCACAGUCAAAAAAAGUAGAAAUACUGCAAAGCACAUCUGCAAGGAUCCACUUGGGUAUGUGACAUAUUAACACAAGAUCCAUACCCAUACAACAGCACCCUACCUACACCCUGUUAGACUGAAUACUAGUUGGACCUCGCUCCAAUACUAGGACCUGUGAGGGCGUAUACUCACAAAUACAGAUACUCCAUUACAACACAUGGCUUGUGCUUUGCAAAUAUGUGGAACAGCUGUAAGUGAAACAUAAGCAUCAGACAAGACAGCUUCCAUUUAAAGUUGCCAUAAUGCCCUCCACUGUAAAUGUACUGGUGAAAUUUGAAUUUGCCUAGCUAGAGACAUUCUCUGUAAAGCUUCCUGUAUAACAAGGCUGCACAUGCAAAUGACAAAUUAGGUAAACGUGUGCAACGUUAGGCAACUAAAACUUCUUUGAGGGUUCGUUGACCCAAUUUACAUCCAGUAUUUUCUUACUUACUUACAGUGGUUGCACGCUGAUGCUGUUGUUUUGGAUUUAGUUAUGCAGGUUUCAAGAUAUCUCUGAGAUUUGUGCCUCCAUGCCGAUACAAUGGAGGUAAAUGGAAUUUAGUUUGUAAGUCUCAAAGCAAUGAAAAAUUACAUUUAAAAAAAUCCAGCAGCAAAAUGUCUAUCCAAACUCAACACACAAUACACAAAAUACUCUGGAUAAUCCACAGAAAACAGUAGUUUUUGUAGGGACUAUUUCUUUGGAAGAAGACAGCCUGAGCCUACAAUGACGUUGCUCGUCAGGAAAACAUAAAAAAAUAGGUUGUUUCGAGCUGUUUGAAAAAAACUGCUGAUGUUUUGCUUUGAUGAAGACAGGCUCUAAUCCUUUGCAUAGAUGUUUAAAAAGAUGAACGGUGCAGGAAACAUGUUUGGUCACAUCAGAUGAGAGAUAGGUUAAAAAGCUGCCGAUUUGAAUUUGUUUUGCUGCAAAACUGAGAAAGGGGAAGUGAAUGAGUAAAAGCAGAUUCAAGUAAAGUUAAAAGUAUGACAUCUGAACUUCCUGUAUAAUUUUAAGUAUCUAAAGCAAUACCUAUAACAAGCGUUUUAGUGCAACCAUUCAAAUUAAAAUUGGAAAUGUUUGAGUGAAGUGAAGGGGCUACAAUAUUCUGUGUUGCCUGAAAAGAUGUUGUACUCAUUGUGGUGGACAACGUUUCUUUUUCACACUUUUGUAUGAACUGAGUGAAUGUGUUAACAACUCCACAGUGGAGGUUAAAACUAGUCGUUUUUUGUCAAGGUGUUUGCUUAAAUUAAUGAAAUUAAGAAAAAAUCCAGUGGCUGUUGACCAAUGGAGUGUAAACACUGGGAUAUGAAAAUUAUCCACUGAAGUGAUAUGAUUAAUGACCUAACCUGAAGUCCCUUAACAGUGUCUGGAGACUUUCAGUUAUUUAAUGAUUUAAAUACUGUAGGCAGUAUACUGUAUAUAUAAAUAUACUGUAAACACUCCAAUAAAGCAAUAAUAAAUAAUAUAAAUCAACAAUAAAUCUGUCGUUUAAUUAUUUAUUAUUUAUAUGGUUAUGCCGUUGUAAUGAUGUUUGCAAUAACCACUGCCUCAACAUCAGUUAUCCACCAGAACUGAGAGCAACUCUUGA